rnacentral:rRNA from 1 species
AUGCCGGGGUCCAGCAGAGACGACCGGUCGUCCGUCGAGAUGCAAAGAAAGCAAGCACGGCCGCCUUCUACAGGCACCAUGCCGUCGCCCCGCGUCCUGUUCGACGAAAUGCCAACACCAACGCCAACGGUCGACGACCCCUUCUACAGCCAGUUCAUGGAGAAUGUCAUCAACGAGGGUGGGCAUGGCGGUGCCUACGAUCCCGACGAGACCCAAAGUCAGGAUCUCCGCGCCCAAUUCGUUGCCAAUGAAGACAAUGAGGCCCAUGACCAUGCUGAAUACGACCAUGGUGACUCGUGGCAUGAAGAUGAUAACAUCUAUUGCGAAGGUGAUGGUGAUGAAGAAGAAGGCAUGAUAUUGGGGGCGAGCCAUUGUUCAUCGACGAGCUCACCCAAAGAGCGGAAGCACAAAAGAGGAAGAAGAGCAUUCGCACGGGUUCAUACUCACAAGAAGAGGACAAGUUGA